UGGGGUGUAGCCAAGCGGUUAAGGCACCAGACUUUGACUCUGGUAUGCGCAGGUUCAAAUCCCGCCACCCCAGCCA
rnacentral:tRNA from 1 species